AUGACUCUAGAGAUUACAAAUAUUGUAUUAUUCAUCAAGUUUGAUAAUUUCAUUUUUGUGUGCUACGAAAAAAUUGACACUUUUAUUUUGAUACUCAUUUAAAGCACGAGGAAAUAUGAUGUGAACCUGUUUUCUUAGGAACAAAACAUUACAUGAAGGCAAAAGGGGUCCUUUAAUGGGUUUUCUUUCUCCUUCUAAGGUGAAAGAAUUGAUCCAUUAUAUCCGUGUACAUCAUACCUGAGUCAAGUUGUUGUGACUGGUGUAGAGACGACAACUGGACACAUAAGAUCGUAUUUUACCAUUACACAUCUAUACAACAUACCUGCAUCGGAGAAUGUACAGGCUCCAAGGCCACUGGAAAAUGAGAUUCUUAAGGAGCUAUACAUGAGCUUAUAGCUAGGACGUAUUAGAGAUCAUGUCUGAGGGAUCAUGAGAGGUGGUCCGCUGGAAAGGAGCACUCUGGCUAGGCUGAAUCUAGAGAUCCUGCAUGAGAUUUAGGGAGGGAUGAUUUAUGUCGGAGGCGUAAGGGUGAUAGGAGUGGCGUUGCUACCCAAUAGUUUUUUAUUUUCUUACUUGAUGUAACAUUUGGAUAAUUUUAGUUUUAAUUUAU
rnacentral:lncRNA from 1 species